rnacentral:rRNA from 1 species
GGGCCCGCACAAGCGGUGGAGCAUGUGGUUUAAUUCGAUGAUACGCGAGGAACCUUACCAGGGCUUAAAUGUAGUGGGACAGGUCUAGAGAUAGACCCUUCUUCGGACUCAUUACAAGGUGCUGCAUGGUUGUCGUCAGCUCGUGCCGUGAGGUGUCAGGUUAAGUCCUAUAACGAGCGCAACCCCUAUCGUUAGUUGCCAGCGGGUAAUGCCGGGAACUCUAGCGAAACUGCCGGUGCAAACCGUGAGGAAGGUGGGGAUGACGUCAAAUCAUCACGGCCCUUACGUCCUGGCUACACACGUGCUACAAUGGUAGUGACAAUGGGUUAAUCCCAAAAAGCUAUCU